AUCGUCGAAAAGGGGGCGGGGGCGGGGGGGGAGAUUGGGAAAGCGCAGUUUCAGGACGAAAGACAGCCAGUUUAUGGGCAGUCUUAAGAGGCUGCCAGCUGGCUAUUUAUUUUCAAACUUCUUUCGCCGUACAUUACAGCUGUAUGGGUCAUGAGGGGCGUCCCUUGUUGUCUUUUGUGUGUUUUCAAAGCCCGGACCCCAGCAGCACAGUGCAGUACGUCCAAGUCCAACUCUGCAGCCUGUGACUUGACGAACCCAAACAGCCACCCCAGACGCUUGUGCGCUUCAACAGGGUCAGUGCCCGACUGUAAUGGCUGUCUCCUGCUGCAGUUUCAGGAGGCACAGGUGGCUGCAGAGGAUCGCCAAAACUCUUUCCCCUCUUCAUAUGAUGGAAAACCUUGAUGCAUCAGUACAAGAGAUUUCCCGGCUUUUUAAAGGUGAAACUUGAAACCUUAUCAGUGGAGGAGGACCCUCUGAGAGAAAAAGGAAAACAGCAGUGAGCUUGAACCUGCACUGAUGCAAUUGCAGCAGGCCUAGCAAGACACUAACCUGUAUAAAAUGGAGACAGACACUUCAGAAAAUAGCUUACCACCUUCAAGAGAAAUACUUUGCUGUUGUAAAUCCAUAACAGCUAUACAAUCUGAUAAACCUAGGUUUAAAUAUCCUAUGUAUCAAUUUCCUGUUUUUUAACAAAUGAAAUUUCAGCCUGAUGACAUGACCCUUAUUGUGACAUCAAGGAAGCAUUAUUGUAAGAAAAGUCUAGAAAUUCUGCAAUGGUGAUAUUCAUUUAAGCUGAACAAGAAGAGAUAUGGAGUUAAAUGAAACAUUACAAUAACAAAUAUGUGCAACACACAGGUCUUUAUGAUAUUAUUCUAUUCAUAUAUUUAGGUGCAAGUCUUGUUGAGUUCAAUGGGACUUACUUCCAGGUAAAUUAAUAACCUAAGGCUGCAGUCAUAUGCACAAUUACUUGGGACUGACUUCCAAGUAGACAUGUGUAUAGGCUUGUUCUGCAUUUCAUGGAAACUCCAUUUGCUACCCCUAACAAUGAGAUCUGAGGUGGUCUGAGGUGCACCAAAUUAUUCAACUUGUUAAAAUUAAAUUGAUAGUAACAUUAUAUAUAGAAAUUGCAGUCUUGGGGAAUCUUACUCCUUUUACUUCUAUGGCAACAUUUUCAGAUUAUGUUAUCUGAAGACUGAAGGAUUAGGUUGUAAUCUUUAUAUUUAAAUAAAAUCUACUAAACCAUGCUUCUAAUUCAAUAAGAGUUGUACACACUGCAAGAAACACAGAGCAUGCAGAGCAAAUUCUCAGAGCUAUGGUUUCAUUUAUGGGAUCAACACCUGUGGUUUCAGGGCUGCUAUAAUGUAUGAAUGGAAUACCUGCACACACUGUAGCAGGUGCUUAGUAGAAAAGAAGCCUCUUCUGCUAAGAAGAAUUGCCCAAAUGUUUUUAUAUCACCAACUGUUAACAGUUGCUUAAUUUGAAAAUGAAUACUUCUGAGUUUAAAUCAGUUUGGUUUCUGUUUAAGAACUGGAUUGAAGUACUCUGUGAUCUAAUGCUGACUGAAAAACAGAAACAUUAUAUUUCUUUUUUAUUUUACAAAGUUUGGAAAUUGUCCUAAAACAAAACAAAACAAGAGACAGUGACUUUUGGAAUAUUAAUCUAUUGGAAUAUUAUUUUCUUAGAGCUUGACCUUUAACAGUCACUGGGAAUUUAACAUGGUUCAACACACAAACUCAUACAGCUUUAAAAAAACAACUUUGUUUUACAACACAUCCAUACAUUCUAGGUUGCUUUGAUUUUAUAUGAAUUUCAAAGUGAUUAGUUAAUUUAUACAGACUUUAUCACUUACCUCCUCUUCUUCCCU